rnacentral:misc_RNA from 1 species
AUUUUAAUUCAGCUAGUCCCACUUCAAGCACAAAAAUGAAUGCAUCUAUCCGAGCUCCACGAUCAGGUUCAGGCAUUGCCCCCAAGUUGUCACCAGUAGUCCAUAGGGCAACUGCUCCAAUUGAGUGGGAACUUUCUCAUUGCUCAAGCAAGCCACCUACUACUGUUGGAACUAGUAACCGUAAACGCACAGCAUCAGCUCGGUCUUCAUCUCCACCUGUUGCCCAUUGGGCAGGUCAGAGGCCACAGAAGAGUUCCCGUAGUGCUAGAAGAGCAAAUUUGAUUCCAAUUGUUUCAAAUAAUGAUGAAAAUCCUGCUUUGGAUACUGUUUCUGAUGUUUCCGGUAAUGAACUUGGAUUUGGAUUUGCCAAGCGUUUGACUGGAAAUUCUCCUCAGCAAAUUAAGUUGAAAAAUGAACCUGUUUCUUCAGCUGCAUUAUCUGAAAGUGAGGAAUCUGGGGCUC